rnacentral:rRNA from 1 species
UACGGGGGGGGCAAGCGUUGUUCGGAAUUACUGGGCGUAAAGGGCGUGUAGGCGGCCAACUAAGUCCGACGUGAAAUCCCCAGGCUUAACCUGGGAACUGCGUCGGAUACUGGAUGGCUUGAAUCCGGGAGAGGGAUGCGGAAUUCCAGGUGUAGCGGUGAAAUGCGUAGAUAUCGGGAGGAACACCAGUGGCGAAGGCGACUACCUGGCCUGUUCUUGACGCUGAGGCGCGAAAGCUAGGGGAGCAAACGGG